rnacentral:sRNA from 1 species
UGACCCUCCUGUGUCAGCCUCUCAAGUGCUGAGAUUAAAGCCCUUAGGGAUGUGCAAAUCCAACUGCACUGAAAUUCCAUCUCAUCCCAGUAAGAAUGGUGAUCAUCAAGAAAACAAAUGAACACAAAUGCCGGUCCCUGAGAAGCUUGCUUGCUCGCUACCUACUUCCCAGGGACUAUCAACCCAGUCAUGGAGUUUCUUCCUGGAGAAAUGCAAGUGUUGCAUCAUUGCUAACUUCACACUUCCUCUGAACAACACAGCUUUCCUGGAGGCUGAGGGGUAGUGAGGGAAUGCUUCAGGAUCAUGAGGCUCUCUCAUCAGGGGCAAAGGUGGGGCAGACCCAAGAAGCUAGUGAAGCUCCAGACUCAGUGUCUUCUUCUGUGUGGUCUGAAUGCUAGUGUCCCCCAAAAUUCACAUUGGUACCUAAUACCAAUGUUGUAGAACUGAGUUGGAGCCUUGAAGAAGUUGUGAGUUGAGAA